UCAAAAUUGUUGGCAUUGUCGAGAAGUGCCUUCAAAAAGACCUAAUUGCCCCCCCCCCACCAAAAAAAGUACAUUGUGAAAGGGUACAACUUAUUUGCAACCUGCCAUUAUCGGCGUCGGCACAUGUUCGUGUGCAUUAUGACAAAAAAGAUCAUGUCUGUUUUUAAAAGUAAAUAGUGGAAACAUGGGUAGAAUCGUUUAGUUUCUAUUUGGUAACAAGUGGCCUUAUUACAGGUAGGCUUAGACAUAAUGCUUUGGAAUGUUUCACUUCAGUAACAAAUGGGCUAGGCCCAGUGUUUUUGUAACCCUGUUCACUUAGGAAAGAGUUGCAGCUUUCAUCAAAGAGACUGAUGAUCUCAAAGUUGAGACAGACUGGAUGAGCUAGGCUGCUUUGUCUGGACGAAAAUCAACCCUCCAAGGCUCCAACAGCCUCAUCACACAGAAACUCGAGGAACCGGAAGCAGGGAGGAGGACCGACAGAUGAACGGAUGACCUGCUUGCUGGUCUACCCAUUACUGAUUCUUGAGACAUGAGGACCACUGACUGAUAAGGGAAUUGUCUUACUGAGAUGGAUGAGCCUGCCUUAAGCUACCAUAAGAUGGGAGGACCGGCGGUUGACCGACUCUGGCUGCUUGGUUGGCCAUUACCGAUUCUUGAGGCCCAGUGUUUUCGAACCCAUGUCCACUUAGGAAAGAGUUGCAGCUUCCAUCAAAGAAACUGAUGAUCUAAAAGUUGAGACAGACUGGAUGAGCUAGGCUGCUUUGUCGGGACGAAAAUGAACCCUCCAAGGCUCCAACAGCCUCAUCACACAGAAACUCGAGGAACUGGAAGCAGGAACGAGGAACAACAGAUGAACGGAUGACCUGCUUGCUGGGCUUCCCAUUACUGAUUCUUGAAAGAAAUGAGGACCACUGAUUGAUGAGAGAAUUGUCUUACUGAGAUGAGGAUGAGCCUGCCUCAAGCCAUCGUAAGCUGGGAGGACCGACGAUGGACUGACACCGCCUGCUGGCCUGGCCAUUACUGAUUAUUAAGGACAUGAGGACCACCAAGCUUGGACGAGACUGGACAAUGACGAAGCUGCUCUACUGGACAAGGAUGCCCUCAUCGGAAACUUGAGUUAAAAAAACUAGCUUGCACAAUAUGAAAUGAUAAAUCGACUGCAUAAUGCAACGUCAUUCAUGUUAUACACUAAGGCAACAACACUAAAAUAAAAUGAAAAGUAAUUUUGAUUUCAUUAAAUUAUAUAUGCCUCUCAAAUAAUCUUAAACCGGAUACUGCAACAUACAGUUAACAAUGGACAAUAAUGGAAACUUGCUUAAAAAUUAUUUUAAGGGUAAUAAUUUGUCACUGGCUUUUUAGCAGUGACAUGUCUGGGAGAAGGAAUGUUCCUUUGAUCUGUCCUGGGUCAUCCAAAAUUAUUGCAUCAAUAAGUUAAUAAUUUCAUACUCCUUACCUUUAAUGCAUUCAAUUUGAUCUUCUCGGUAAAUUAUAAACGAGGUCUCGCCUAUGGCUUUCUAUUUGGUUUUUGUUCAGUUGACAAUGGAGAAUUUUGCUCUAUAAAUUUAAUUUGAUAUUGAAGGUGCAAUUUUAAGAAAACCAAUUUAAGUCAUAAGAGUUUUGAAAGAUUUCAAAAAGGAUUAAUUUAUUGUUUAAAAACUGAAGAAAUGUAACAAACUUUAUUUAAAUUUAACGUCUUUAACAAGAAGUCGGUUUAACUAAAACGUGACUUUCUUUCCAUUGUAUAUUCAUUAGAAAACACAAGAACGUUUAAUUUUUAGGAAAAUUUAAAGAAUAAACUGUUCAGGAACUUCUAUCCAUCAAAAUG